GAGUAACACGUGAGUAACCUGCCCUUGACUCUGGGAUAAGCCUGGGAAACCGGGUCUAAUACUGGAUAUGACCUUCUGGCGCAUGCCAUGUUGGUGGAAAGCUUUAUUGCGGUUUUGGAUGGACUCGCGGCCUAUCAGCUUGUUGGUGGGGUAAUGGCCUACCAAGGCGACGACGGGUAGCCGGCCUGAGAGGGUGGACGGCCACACUGGGACUGAGACACGGCCCAGACUCCUACGGGAGGCAGCAGUGGGGAAUAUUGCACAAUGGGCGCAAGCCUGAUGCAGCGACGCCGCGUGGGGGAUGAAGGCCUUCGGGUUGUAAACCUCUUUCAGUAGGGAAGAAGCGAAAGUGACGGUACCUGCAGAAGAAGCGCCGGCUAACUACGUGCCAGCAGCCGCGGUAAUACGUAGGGCGCAAGCGUUAUCCGGAAUUAUUGGGCGUAAAGAGCUCGUAGGCGGUUUGUCGCGUCUGCCGUGAAAGUCCGGGGCUUAACUCCGGAUCUGCGGUGGGUACGGGCAGACUAGAGUGAUGUAGGGGAGACUGGAAUUCCUGGUGUAGCGGUGAAAUGCGCAGAUAUCAGGAGGAACACCGAUGGCGAAGGCAGGUCUCUGGGCAUUAACUGACGCUGAGGAGCGAAAGCAUGGGGAGCGAACAGGAUUAGAUACCCUGGUAGUCCAUGCCGUAAACGUUGGGCACUAGGUGUGGGGGACAUUCCACGUUUUCCGCGCCGUAGCUAACGCAUUAAGUGCCCCGCCUGGGGAGUACGGCCGCAAGGCUAAAACUCAAAGGAAUUGACGGGGGCCCGCACAAGCGGCGGAGCAUGCGGAUUAAUUCGAUGCAACGCGAAGAACCUUACCAAGGCUUGACAUGAACUGGAACAGCGCAGAGAUGUGUUGGCCGCUUGCGGCCGGUUUACAGGUGGUGCAUGGUUGUCGUCAGCUCGUGUCGUGAGAUGUUGGUUAAGUCCCGCAACGAGCGCAACCCUCGUUCUAUGUUGCCAGGCCGUUAUGGCCGGGACUCAUAGGAGACUGCCGGGGUCAACUCGGAGGAAGGUGGGGACAACGUCAAAUCAUCAUGCCCUUUAUGUCUUGGGCUUCACGCAUGCU
rnacentral:rRNA from 1 species